UAGCUACAGGGCUUAACACAUGCAAGUCGAGGGGCAGCAUGGCCUAUCUUUCGGGAUAGGCUGAUGGCGACCGGCGCACGGGUGAGUAACGCGUAUCCAACCUUCCCUUUACUGGGGUCCAGCCCGUCGAAAGGCGGAUUAAUCUCCCAUGUUCUCCGUCCCGGACAUCUGUGUCGGAGCAAAGAUUUAUCGGUAAAGGAUGGGGAUGCGUCCGAUUAGCUUGUUGGCGGGGUAACGGCCCACCAAGGCAUCGAUCGGUAGGGGUUCUGAGAGGAAGGUCCCCCACACUGGAACUGAGACACGGUCCAGACUCCUACGGGAGGCAGCAGUGAGGAAUAUUGGUCAAUGGCCGCAAGGCUGAACCAGCCAAGUAGCGUGAGGGAAGACUGCCCUAUGGGUUGUAAACCUCUUUUAUGCGGGGAUAAAGGCGUCCACGUGUGGAUGUUUGCAGGUACCGCAUGAAUAAGGACCGGCUAAUUCCGUGCCAGCAGCCGCGGUAAUACGGAAGGUCCGGGCGUUAUCCGGAUUUAUUGGGUUUAAAGGGAGCGUAGGCCGGUCUUUAAGCGUGCCGUGAAAUUUUGUGGCUCAACCAUGAGAGUGCGGCGCGAACUGGAGACCUUGAGUGCGCGGAAGGCAGGCGGAAUUCGUGGUGUAGCGGUGAAAUGCUUAGAUAUCACGGAAGGAACCCCGAUUGCGAAGGCAGCCUGCCCGCAGCGUUUACUGACGCUGAAGCUUCGAAAGCGCGGGUAUCGAACAGGAUUAGAUACCCUGGUAGUCCGCGCGGUAAACGAUGGAUACCCGCUGUCGGCGAUAUACAGUCGGCGGCCAAGCGAAAGCGUUAAGCAUCCCACCUGGGGAGUACGCCGGCAACGGUGAAACUCAAAGGAAUUGACGGGGGCCCGCACAAGCGGAGGAACAUGUGGUUUAAUUCGAUGAUACGCGAGGAACCUUACCCGGGCUUGAAUUGCAGAGGAAAGAUCCAGAGAUGGUGAUGCCCUUCGGGGUCUCUGUGAAGGUGCUGCAUGGUUGUCGUCAGCUCGUGCCGUGAGGUGUCGGCUUAAGUGCCAUAACGAGCGCAACCCCUUUCCCUAGUUGCCAUCGGUUUUGGCCGGGCACUCUGGGGACACUGCCUCCGCAAGGAGUGAGGAAGGUGGGGAUGACGUCAAAUCAGCACGGCCCUUACGUCCGGGGCUACACACGUGUUACAAUGGGUGAUACAGAGGGCCGGCCGCUGGCAACAUCGGUCCAAUCCUUAAAGUCAUCCUCAGUUCGGACUGGGGUCUGCAACCCGACCCCACGAAGCUGGAUUCGCUAGUAAUCGCGCAUCAGCCAUGGCGCGGUGAAUACGUUCCCGGGCCUU
rnacentral:rRNA from 1 species